rnacentral:rRNA from 4 species
GCGACCCCAGGUCAGGCGGGAUCACCCGCUGAGUU